AUAGAUUAUCUUCAAUAUUAUAGUCUUGGGGUUUUUUGGUGUUUUUCCUACAUGUUGUUAUCUGACCAAUCAAAAUGUACAUUUGUACAUCUUUGCUGAGAUGCAGCCAAUUGUGGGCCUACAUUGCUAUAAACCUUUUGAGCCAUAAUGAUUUGUUUUUAGGUAUUUAAGGAUCUUCUCAUGGGUGUCUGUUCCUUGAGGGCAUAGUUGUUACCCUUUAGUGAGAGGGGCAGUUGCCUUUUACCUGUAGCUCCUCAAUUAAGUUAGUUCAAUUCAGAGUCUUCAAUUGGGAUGAAGUUGAUGAAUUUACUGGUGGGAUGUCACUGAAUCAGGGUCUAAGGCUGAGGCACCUGGAAACAGGGAUAUUUCUAGCAUAGUUUAUAGGUGUCAGGGAGGGUAUAUGAUAUAAGUACCAAUAGGUAUUUUAAAGUCAAAUAUGAGUAAAGUUAUAUCAUGUGGAUAAUGGAAUACUGACUCUAUGGGUACUCUAAGGGUACCCUUUAUUUAUCUAUUUCCCAUUUGGAAAGGGGAUCAUUCUGUUUCCCAUGAAUGGCAGGCUGCACUGUUUCCCCUCUGGGACUAUUUGUAAUAUUCUUUUAUAUCUGUAGAGGCCAUCUUUGCUG
rnacentral:lncRNA from 1 species